UACAGAGGUCCCAAGCGUUGUUCGGAUUCACUGGGCGUAAAGGGUGCGUAGGCGGUCGGGUAAGUCUGAUGUGAAAUCUCACAGCUUAACUGUGAAACUGCAUUGGAUACUAUCCGGCUCGAGGAAUGGAGGGGAGACUGGAAUACUUGGUGUAGCAGUGAAAUGCGUAGAUAUCGGGAAGAACACCCGUGGCGAAGGCGGCUCUCUGGAACGCAACUGACGCUGAGACGCGAAAGCGUGGGGAGCAAACAGG
rnacentral:rRNA from 1 species